UUAAUUGAAACCAAAUUAGAGGUAUAUCACUGUUAAUGAUAAAAAUGAACCAAAACUCCAAUUAAA
rnacentral:tRNA from 1 species